rnacentral:rRNA from 1 species
AUUGAACGCUGGCGGCAGGCCUAACACAUGCAAGUCGAGCGGAUGAGAAGAGCUUGCUCUUCGAUUCAGCGGCGGACGGGUGAGUAAUGCCUAGGAAUCUGCCUGGUAGUGGGGGACAACGUUUCGAAAGGAACGCUAAUACCGCAUACGUCCUACGGGAGAAAGCAGGGGACCUUCGGGCCUUGCGCUAUCAGAUGAGCCUAGGUCGGAUUAGCUAGUUGGUGAGGUAAUGGCUCACCAAGGCGACGAUCCGUAACUGGUCUGAGAGGAUGAUCAGUCGCACUGGAACUGAGACACGGUCCAGACUCCUACGGGAGGCAGCAGUGGGGAAUAUUGGACAAUGGGCGAAAGCCUGAUCCAGCCAUGCCGCGUGUGUGAAGAAGGUCUUCGGAUUGUAAAGCACUUUAAGUUGGGAGGAAGGGCAGUAAGUUAAUACCUUGCUGUUUUGACGUUACCGACAGAAUAAGCACCGGCUAACUCUGUGCCAGCCGCCGCGGUAAUAC